GUUGGAUGGCAGGAGGAUCCAAAACCCCUUUCGGAAAACACUCCAGGCAAGAGAGGAGUUAGGAGUGUGUUUUCUGGCGUUGUCUGGGCACCUGAUCUUAGUGAGGACCCAGCAGAGAUCAUGUGUGCUGCCUCCCCCAAGCUUCCCAGGGCACACACACAUACACACUUCCACACACGAGACAGGCAUGGGCCUCAGCUCUGUACUCACGCCCCAAGAAGCCUGCCCCUACCUCAGGCUUCUGCUCUCUGACGCCAGCUCUGGGCAGGGGUCUUGGCUGGGUUUUCACCCUUAGCGGGUUCUCUCGACCUUGCUUUGUGGCAUCCCCCCAUCCUUUUCCCCAGGCCCAAGGGUAGAGGGUGUUCGAUCCAGCCUCUUGGGGUGGGUUGCAUUUUGAAUAGUAUCUCCCUGGGUCCUGAACCAUAGACCUCCAAAAAUAUUGUCCCCGAUUCAGAAAUCCUUCCCUCAGUUAGGCUGUAGGGACACAAGCCCCACUGUGCCCAGGCCAACAGGGAGCCUGAAGCCACCAGGAAAAGUGGAAGUCUUUGGGCUGCGCUAGCCAGCCAGUCUGGGGUGAAGGUAGAGGUCAGCCCUUGGUUCCCAGAAAGAAAUACCCAAUUUAGGUGGGUUGUAGAUCCCCGAUCCUGGAGCUGGUGGAGGAGGACCCCUUUCUCCAUGGAAGGAUCUCCAGGAGGGCUGGAGGUUCAGGCUCGCCCGCAGGCCAGGCCUUCCAAACUUGAGCUUAGACUACAAGUGGGAAACUGAGGGCACUAAAAGCCCCACCCUGGCUGCUGGGCAGGGAAUGGCCAUUUAUUGCACAGUCAGUAUUCGUGAUCUUGGCUGGGGGGGAUGAGAGUAGAAGACUUCCAAGGCAAAGGGGCUCCAUUCAGUGUCUGGGAGGUGGGAUGAGGCCCGCCAUGGUGUGUGAUAGUUUCCCCUCUUCUAAACUCUCAGGCUGAGCACUAAAGUGGUAUUGGUACCACCUUAAACUCUCCUGUUUUGGCCGAGAUGUGUCCGGAGAGUGUCCUAAUGAAAUGAGCAGUCUGGAGCCCAGACCCUCAGCCUCCCUCCCGAGGCAGGGACAGUCGGCCGGGGCAGAGGGCCCAGGCUGCUCCCAGUGUACAAGAAGCAGGCCACUCGCCUCUUGCAAACUGCCAUAAGGGGGCCAGCUUUACCCCCAAAGGGCUCUAGUUAUUGGCAGGUGGGCGAGGCUGAGAGAGUCUGGUGGUUGCCUUCUUGGCGGCAGUAGGACACGCCUGUUCGCCGCUGGCCCCAAGCCUCUCCCGGGCCCCCACGAGGAAGAAGCGGGUUUCUAGUGAGUCAGGGGCCGCACGCGGAAGCGCUGGAAGCGGAGUAAUCUAUGCUAAUUCAUGCGCCGGGACCGAGGAGCUUGGAAGGGUUAGCUCUGCCAGGCCCCGACGUGCAGGGGAAUUAACUAGGAGAGUAACUUAUUAACCAGGCUGGCGGGCAGAGGCGCACCAAGGCGCUGGGCAACCUAGUCUGGACUCGGACCCUGAGCUGCCUCUAGACUCUGCUCCUUGGACCCAGCGGCUGCCAUUCUCUUUACUUGUGGCUUCUUUAGCCUUUCAGAAUGCGGCCCCUCUUUGUUCCCUAGCUGCUCUGGAAGGGUGGGUGUUGGGUUAAGUACCGGUGUGAGCAGUGGGAAGUGGGGGGAUUUCUGAGGCCCCAUCUUAGAGCAACAGCCUCCCGAUCUCCACACCCGCACCCGAUGAGGGUUGUGCUCUGUAGAUUUCAGAAUCUACACUCUGCAGGCAGCUGAACUAGCAGACACAUGAUGAAGGUUCGAGUCUCGGAUCUGUCACUUACUGACUGAGGGAACUUGGGCAACACCACAACCUCUCCCAACCUCCAUUUUGUCAUCUGUAAGAUCACGGCCAAUGCUGCCUGCGAGACCGUGGAGGGCAGGAGGCCGGCCUGUUUUAGGGAGUGAUAGAACCCUUCUACUUCCUGAUUGUGGCGGCAGUUACACAUCUGUGUUUUAAAAACUCAUAGGGUUGUACACAACAAAGGGUGAGUUUUACUGUAUGUAAGUUAUACCUUAGUAAACCUGACCCCCACCCCCAAAGUCAGGCCUGGAUGACCUUAGGCAAGUUACCUAACCUCUCUAAGCCUGUUAUCUCUUCUGUGAACUCGAGAUAAAUAAUAUCUUGGCCCUUGAGGUUGUUCAACAAGAUAAGCCAAGCAACAUGCUUAGUGUCCAGCAUAUAAUGAAUGAGCUAUCAUAAAAGUAAGUUCCUGUCCUUGAUAUUGCUGUUAUUAUUAUUACCUACCCACCUCCAGGGCUUCUUGCUGGGCUUCAAGACUGAACAAUAAAGUUGUACAAAUAUAAGCUGCUGUUCUCACACUCCUGCCACGCUCCCCUCCAUGCUCCUCCAAAGGCCAGGGACUUCUCUAGGGGGACCCUGGGGGUGAGAGAGGCUUGGAUUCCUGGCUAGCGGGAGACAUCAAAGGGCAGAGCUUUCUGGUCGUCUCCCAUACCAUCUGCUCUGAGUUUCCCACCAGGCCCUCUACCUUUGCAGAAGCAAACAGCAGUGCUUCUCCCUCCCCCAGCUCGUGCUAGGCCUGUUUGAUAACGGGGGUGGAUGCAUACCUUCAUGCAACCCAGGAGAGAUGCCCAGGUGCUGCCUGGGUCACUACCUGUGUGACCUUUACCUUCUUGAGCCUCGGUUUUCUCCUCGCUAAAAAGGAAAUACCAAUAUCUUAACAGCUGUUUGAGGGGAGUAAGUGAGCUAAUGCUUGGCACAGUUACCGUUCGUUCAUCAAAUAGUAAUGGCAGCCCAUGGCUUUGCACGUCCAGCAUACCCGCUGCACUCCGCUAAAUCUAGGUCGCGGCGGUUAGGACCCUCCUGGUGAGCCGGUGCCGUGAGGCUGCACUGUGCGCCAGCCAGGCAACGCGAGCAGCGCGGACGUCCGUGGAGGGUAAGCCCUCUCCCCGGGCCCAAGACAUGCGGAAGGUGUCCCGGGAUGGGGAGAUCCUCGGGACCCGGUUAAGAAUUCCUCCAACCCACGGUGAUUCCCAGUCACCCGGCCUCUCCGAAUGCGUAGGGCGGCGGUAAAACUAAGAGAAAAAUUAAUGUCCUAAAAACAUUUUUUUUUAAAUCCUCAUGACGGCAAAUCCCUUUCUGGUGUCCUCUCUAGAGGCCGCUGGCAGGCGCGGCGACCCGGGACGUGUAUCCGCGUGCGCGCAGCGGCGCCUAGUGGCGGGGGCCGGGCGCUGGCCGCAUCCCCGCGAGCGGCCGAGCCCGGUGCGCCCGGUAGUGCCGGCGUUGCGCCCCACUGCCAAGACCUUCCCGCGACCGCAGUCUGAGCCGGGAGAGGAAGUCAAAGUAGGCUCACUGACCACAGAGGAAGAGAGGACGACUUGGAAAUGCGUCCCUCCUCCCUCCAGCAGCUCUCCGCUUCGGAGUUCACCACCCACGCUAGAAUUCCAGCUCCACCCCGAGUCGGGCUUCCUUCGGAAGGGUGCAAGGAAGGGGGGACGGGUUCUGUUCUAAAAAGGACGCUGAGGCCGUGAUCACCUGUGCCAGGGGGAUACCGCGGAAAUGAGGCCACAACAUCAUGCGUCAGGUCCUAGAUCCCGCGGCCUGACUACGGGCCCAUUCUGGCCUGCGCUGGCUCCAGCUUGGGUAGAGUCCGAAGAGCUGGGGUCUCGGGGUGCAGCUCUCUUAACUUCAUGCCCCCUCGUGGCCGGCCAAAGACUCCCUGGUGGUUAUUGCUGAGAUAGCGAUCAGCCGGACUGAGGGGCCGCGACCUGGUCAGGGUGACCGGCUCCUUCCUCCUGGAGCGCGCGGACCCUUAUCUGUCCCGGCGCAAGUUGGUUCCUCUGGUGAGGUAAGGCCCGUGGAAUCCGAGCGGGGUUCGUUGGAAACCCGUGCGUAACCGUUCAAGCGUCCACCGGGGGGACUGAGCCCUCUCGGGAGGGUUGGACCCUGGUCCAGGCCUCAGAUGCCCCAGACGACUGCAGGAACCAGGUGCUGUCCUUCUCCGGAUGUUAUCAGGAGGCUGCCAGCGUGUGGGUCUCCGAGAUCCAACCGUUUUGAGAGCCGACGUUUCAGAGCCGGGAACUCCGCACUGAGGCGUAAAGCCACGCAGGGCUUGACCAUCGAAUUUACUUCCUUCACCACGUUGAAACUCGUCAAUCUCUCAACACACAGGCUGUCCUGAUUCACUAAUGAAAGCAAGAAAACAGAUAAAAGGAAGUCCCGGUUUCUUUCUCCCUCGGCUGCCUUCAAAUGAAAGUCUAAAGCCAAGCAAGGACAGGCGUGGGGCAGACUGACUGACACAGGGGCGCAGGAAUUAGGGAAGAAGGACGCUCUUGCUCAGGUGACUUUCUCGGGCAGGGGUGGAGACAGCUCGGUCUCCCCUGCACCCUUCCCGCUGGUGGGUGGGUGGCGUUAUCGCUCUCCCCUCCAACAGUCCCGAAAGCUUUGGUUUCACUGGGCCACAAGGUCACCGACUGUUGCCCGGAGCUCCCUGCCAUCGCAUAAGAUGACCUGCAGCGGGCCACAGGAGAUGAAGAUGGAGAUCAAAUGAGGUAACGGGUGGAAAAUAAAUUAUCAAGCACUUUAAGCUACAAAUUGAUGGUGUUGUACACUUUGAAGCGGUGAGUCUUCCUGCUGUCUCCCCUUUACGUCUCCCACCCCACCGGGAAGAACCCUUUGCCACGCAGCUGUGUGAGGUUUCCCAGUGUAGCAAGUGCGGGAGCUGUUGUAGGGGAGGAGGAAGGAAUUCUUGGCCUGCUCAUCGCUUGUGGGCUGGAGGGUCGUUCCUGAGCCCGAAGAUUCCCUCACAAGGCAAGUGGGCAAGCUGGCACUGGCCCUGGCUGAGCAGCCCCUGGAGACGGAUCUGGGGAGGCCCCAUCACUACUGGGGGUUCAGACCGCACCCUGAAACCCAUUAAACUAAUGCCUUGUACGCCUGACAGCUGGGGUCAAGAGACGUUUUCAGGGCGCUUACGGGCUCCUCUAGGGGAGAGGCUAUGCCUGGGUCCGCGGGCUCCUGUGCAGGAAGAAGGGACUCUUGGGGCACAGUACCUCUGGUCCUCAUGUGCUGUCAACCUUGGGCAGGUCACCUCCUUUCUCUGGGCGCAGCUGUUAGAGGCGCAUUGCUUUUUAUUUUAAAAGUGACGCGUGCUCAGAAAACAUGUAAAUGUGAAAGAAGAGGACAAAGUCAGUGACGGUGCCUCCCCCAUCCUACGACCAUGGACAGCCCGCUAUAAAAAAUUCUUCUCAAUAUACAAAUAGCUAUGUUCACUUCUUCAACAGAAUUUGGGAUCACACAGAUACAUUGUUCUCUUGGACUUGCCCUCUGUCAAUGUCAGUGUUCUCUUGGUCUACCCCUUCCUUCAACCAACUGCAGAGUAUUCCAGCAUUGGACAAUUUUGUGACUAUUUCCACAGGGUAAACCCUGAAGUGAAAUUACAGGAUCAAAAAUAUUUCUCUAUGUCCUCAAUAUGUUGAAUAUUAUCCUUCCUUUUUAAAAUUUUGGUAGCAAUGAGUGAAAAUAAAAUUUUGUUCUAACUUUAA